UGUUGUGUUCAGGUUUACCUACACUGAGGACAAAAAUUACGGCCCCUUUCUGACCAGUGUGAAUGGUUUGUAUGGAGAUUUCUCUCAGCGCACCUACUGGCAGCUGCUGGUGGAGAAACCGGACGGGACCACCAUAAGAGCUGAUGUUGGUAUCGGGUGCUACAUUCCAACUGCAAAUGAUAAGAUCAUCUUUAAUUAUUCCAGCUUCUGAAGACGACUUGACUCUGAGCUGAUUAAUAAACAUAUAACCACGUAC
ensembl:lncRNA